UGAUCCUGACAAAAGUCUUGAUAUCCUGUCUAUCUUCCCAAGAUUCUUGGAUACAAGAGGAUUGGUGAAUCAAGACUUCACUCUCCUGUUUGAUGAUGAGAUAUCUACCAGGCUGCUUCAGAAAUGGGAUCCAAUCUUUAGGUAUCAAAUCAUCAAAGAGGCCAAGCAGCUCACCUCAACAGUAGAGUUGCGUCAAUUGGUGCAGUCAGCAGAGAGUCCACCAGGAAGUGAUCUUGAUGAGGCAGCAACCUUUGACCAAGACAUGGCCUCCCUGUUGUUACUGUUACAUCUACUUCCGCCACCCCCAGGAGGACCAAAGUAUCAAAAAAUCAGCGCCUCUGAUGCUGUUGAGAGACUUGUAGUCUUUCAUAAGUCUUGCUGCAGUUUGGAAGAGCAUCUCCAGAAUCAGCAGAGUCAGCAGCCAUACCUCCUGGCUGUUGGGCGCCAGAAGAGGAAGGUCGACAGCUUCUAUGUUGCCAUAGACAAGCGUCUCAUCCCCUGCCAGGCCAGCCGCUCCCUUGGGGCAUUUGAUGAGCUUUUUAAAGCUCAUUUUGUGUUCAAUGUGUCUUAUGAUGCUGCACUUGUGAAUUUCUACACAUUUCUGCAGACAACAGUAUACAAUAUUGAUAUGGGGAAAAUGAAGGAGUCCCCAAGAGUGCGUGACUUGAGAGCCAAAAUCCUUAACCAGGAAAUUCUUCUCACAACCUAAGUAAAAAUCAUUAAAAUGCUGACAUGUUUUUUGUGUAAGAGAGCUUAUCUCAGCAGUCAGCAGCUGAUUUCACAUUUAAGAGGUGAACAUGGUUAUUAUCCUGGACCUAAGUUUAAGUUAUGUUGUUGGCAGCCAGGCUGCAGGCUUCAGUUCCAAACUUAUGCAGGCUUUAGGAAGCACCUCAGUUUUCACAGCAAUGUUGACCACAAUGAUCGAACUUCAGCCAUUGCUUCUUUUUCUAAUGACACAGUUUCACCUGCUUUGGAGGACCAGUUUAAUUCCUCUUAUCUUCCUCACAGUUCUCCCAGUGUUCUUCCAGAGUCUAGUUCUUCCAGUGUUCCAGUGAGCAUUGAUUCAGUACUUACAAGGGAUUCAUCCAAAGAAAUCUGUGCAUCCAUUGUGGCCAAACUGCAGGGUAGUGGCCUUUCUAACAGUUUAGUAUCCUCACUUGUAGGCGAUUUGGAGGAAUUAACAAGUGAGCUUCGCUCAGAAGCAAAGCAGGCCAUUCUUUCUGCGUUACCCACAAAGGACUCCAGCAUAUCUUUAAUAAAUGAAUGUUUUGAAAAUUUUGAAAACCCUUUCACCAAUCUGAACACAGAAUGGAAACGAAAUAAAUACUUCAAUCUAAAAUGGGGAGUUGUAGAACCUAGAGAAAUAACACUUGGAGUGAGGUAUGACAUCAGGCGAAAUCAGAAGUUUGGUACUUAUGAUCAAGUACCUGUGAAGGAUACUUUUAUAUAUGUACCUAUUUUGGAGUCUUUGAAGUUCAUGUUUAGAAAUCCAGAGAUUUGUGUUUUCCUGCAGAGAGAGUGUAGCUCAGAGCCUGAUGCUUAUCAUGACUUUUGUGAUGGAAGUUACUUUAAAACUCACCCUUUGUUUUCAGCCAAAAGGCAUGCAUUACAAAUUCAGCUAUACUAUGAUGACUUUGAAACAGCCAAUCCUCUUGGCUCUAAACGCGGAAUUCACAAAAUUGGCUGUAUUUAUUUUGUUAUAAGAAACUUGCCCCCAAAAUUUAAUUCCAUUUUGAUGAACAUUCAUUUAGUGUCACUUUUCCACACACCAGAUCUGCAAAAGUAUGGUUUUGAUGUUAUACUGGAACCACUGAUAAAUGAUGUCAAAAAACUGGAAAGCCAAGGGCUAAGUCUUCCAUUUUCUGAUGAGCAGGUAUAUGGCACAAUAUCACAGAUCACUGGAGAUAACCUAGGGAUGCACUCAAUUCUUGGUUUUAAUGAGUCGUUCAGUAGCCGUCAUUUCUGUCGCCUUUGUUUGAUUGAGAAGAAUGAUUGUCAAAUGGUGUACAGUGAGGAUGAUCCUAAAAUUAUUCUUCGUGGGAAAGAUUUGUUUGACAUACAUUGCCAGUCUCUUCGGGAAGAUCCUAAAUUGAAGUCACUGUAUGGGUUGAAAAGAAAUUCUGCACUCAAUUCAUUGCAGUAUUACCAUAUUUGCAAUAACUACUCAUUUGAUAUAAUGCAUGACCUUCUUGAAGGUGUGGCUCAGUAUGAGGUCAAAUUGCUUUUUGAGUAUCUUACGCAACACUUCAUAUCAGAACAGAACUUGCUUUCUAGGAUUUAUGGUUUUGACUAUGGAUUUUUAGAAAGAAAAAACCGGCCCACUAAAAUCAUAUUGGACAGUGCUGGCAAUAGCAUUGGUUUGAACUCUAUCCAGACAUUCUGUCUUGUGAAAAACAUCCCACUUUUGUUUGGUGACAUUAUUCCUGCAGGGAACAGACACUGGAAUUUGUUAUUGUUGUUACUUCAAAUAAUGAACAUUGUUUUUUCACCUUGUCUCACUCUGGGAAUGACUAUAUAUUUGAAGAAUUUGAUUAUUGACCACCACAAACUAUUUAAGCACACGUAUCCACACAGAAACUUGAUUCCUAAGCAUCAUUUUAUGAUUCAUUACCCAUCCUGUAUUCGAAAAAUUGGCCCUUUACUGUAUAUGUGGAGUAUGAGGUUUGAAGCUAAGCACAAGUUGUUCAAAGAUUAUUUCAAAAAUUUCAAAAACCUCACCAAAUCGCUUGCUAAACGGCAUCAGAUGGCCAUUGCUUAUCACUGGGAAACCUUUUCUCUUAAACAGAAGGAGUUUGGGCCAAUUAAAUCAUUUUCUUUAAGAGGUGAAAGUGUGGUCAAUAGUGAAAUGCUAUUAUCAAAAGAUGUUUUCUCAACAAGUUGGGUUAAAAUUGAUGGUGUAGAGUACAAAGCUGGACUCGUUGUUUGCAGUACAAUGGAGGAAGACAUGCCAGUCUUUUGUCAAAUAAUUGAUACACUUAUGGUUGAAAAUGACAUUUUUUUGUUGACACACAAACUCUUUACUGAAAACUUUGAUGAACAUCACCAUGCAUUCAAAGUACUACAAACUGAAGAACGGUGUGUCAUAAAAAUAACUGAACUCAAAUGUCACAGACCAUUUGAUAUUCAAAACUCA
ensembl:lncRNA